ACUACGGGGGGCAGCAGUGAGGAAUAUUGGUCAAUGGGCGGAAGCCUGAACCAGCCAAGUAGCGUGCAGGAUGACGGCCCUACGGGUUGUAAACUGCUUUUAUACGGGAAUAACGCGCCUUAAGUGUAGGGCUUUGCAUGUACCGUAUGAAUAAGGACCGGCUAAUUCCGUGCCAGCAGCCGCGGUAAUACGGAAGGUCCGGGCGUUAUCCGGAUUUAUUGGGUUGAAAGGGAGCGUAGGCCGCAUGUCAAGCGUGCUGUGAAAUGUCCGGGCUCAACCCGGGCCUUGCAGCGCGAACUGGCGUGCUUGAGUCCGCGGAAAGCAGGCGGAAUUCGUCGUGUAGCGGUGAAAUGCUUAGAUAUGACGAAGAACCCCGAUUGCGAAGGCAGCUUGCUGCAGCGGAACUGACGCUGAUGCUCGAAAGCGCGGGUAUCGAACAGGAUUAGAUACCCCAGUAGUC
rnacentral:rRNA from 1 species